UACGGAGGGUGCAAGCGUUAUCCGGAUUCACUGGGUUUAAAGGGCGCGUAGGCGGCCUGCUAAGUCGAACGUGAAAUCCCUGGGCUCAACCCAGGAACUGCGUCCGAUACUGGUUGGCUUGAAUCCGGGAGAGGGAUGUGGAAUUCCAGGUGUAGCGGUGAAAUGCGUAGAUAUCUGGAGGAACACCGGUGGCGAAGGCGACAUCCUGGACCGGCAUUGACGCUGAGGCGCGAAAGCCAGGGGAGCAAAGCGGG
rnacentral:rRNA from 1 species